rnacentral:misc_RNA from 1 species
UACAGAGUUGCAAAACUCCCUAAACCAUUGUGAACCUACCUUCUACCGUAUGCUUCGGCGGGCGGGCCCCAGCGCCCCCCCGGCCCCCCGCGGGCGCCCGCCGGAGGACACCCAAACUCUUGACAUUAGUGGCCUCUCUGAGUAUUCUUUACUGAAUAAGUCAAAACUUUCAACAACGGAUCUCUUGGUUCUGGCAUCGAUGAAGAACGCAGCGAAAUGCGAUAAGUAAUGUGAAUUGCAGAAUUCAGUGAAUCAUCGAAUCUUUGAACGCACAUUGCGCCCGCCAGUAUUCUGGCGGGCAUGCCUGUUCGAGCGUCAUUUCAACCAUCAAGCCCCCGGGCUUGUGUUGGGGACCUGCGGCUGCCCGCAGGCCCUGAAAACCAGUGGCGGGCUCGCUGUCACACCGAGCGUAGUAGCAUACAUCUCGCUCAGGGCGUGCUGCGGGUUCCGGCCGUUAAACAGCCUCUGCGCUACACCCAAGGUUGACCUCGGAUCAGGUAGGAAGACCCGCUGAACUUAAGCAUAUCAAUAAGCGGAGGA